rnacentral:tRNA from 1 species
GGAGAGUGUCGAUUCGCUGGUGCGGUCCACGGUCUUCAAAACCGUUGUCGGUUCGUGAACGGGCCGAGGUAGGUUCGAUUCCUACCCUCUCCGCCA